CAGUCGCCGCGGUAAUACGAAGGGGGCUAGCGUUGUUCGGAUUUACUGGGCGUAAAGGGCGCGUAGGCGGACUGAUAAGUCAGGGGUGAAAUCCCAAGGCUCAACCUUGGAACUGCCUUUGAUACUGUUUGUCUUGAGUAUGGUAGAGGUGAGUGGAAUUCCGAGUGUAGAGGUGAAAUUCGUAGAUAUUCGGAGGAACACCAGUGGCGAAGGCAGCUCACUGGACCAUUACUGACGCUGAGGUGCGAAAGCGUGGGGAGCAAACAGGAUUAGAUACCCCUGUAGUCCCUGUCUCUUAUAC
rnacentral:rRNA from 1 species